rnacentral:tRNA from 1 species
GGGAAAUAGAUCAGUUGGUAGAGUGCUUCCCUCCCAUGCAUAAGGCCAUGGGUUCAAUCCCCAGUCCCA